rnacentral:rRNA from 1 species
CACGUAGGGCGCGAGCGUUGUCCGGAAUUAUUGGGCGUAAAGAGCUCGUAGGCGGCCUGUUGCGUCCGCUGUGAAAGCCCGGGGCUUAACCCCGGGUCGGCAGUGGAUACGGGCAGGCUAGAGGUAGGCAGGGGAGAAUGGAAUUCCCGGUGUAGCGGUGAAAUGCGCAGAUAUCAGGAGGAACACCGGUGGCGAAGGCGGGUCUCUGGGCCGAUACUGACGCUGAGGAGCGAAAGGCGUGGGGAGCGAACAGG